rnacentral:tRNA from 1 species
UCCCUGGUGGUCCAGUGGAUAAGACUCUGAGCUUCCACUGCAGAAGGCACAGGUUCAAUCCCUGGUCAGAGAA